GCGGGCAACCCAGGGUUUAGUCAGAUUCCUCCUGACCCACCGCUUCUGGGAAAGAGGCGCCUCCCGUCAGGAGGAUGCUGAGUUCCUCAUGACUGGACCAGUGAGUGUCCACUCCCUGGUCCCUGGCGGGAGAGGCGGGACCCCCACGCCCUCCUGGCGCUCUUUGCAGAGAUGUUCCUCAGGCCCAAUCCGGGAUUUGGGAUGUCUGUGCGUGCUGUGGAGCGGAGAGUUUGCAACAUGGUCUCACUUUGUCACCCAGGCUGGAAUGCAUUGGCAUGAACACGUCUCACUGCAGCCUCAACCUCCCAGGCUGAAGUGACCCUCCAACUCUGCUUUCACAGUAGCUGUGAUAUGGUUUGGCUGUGUCCCCACCCACAUCUCAUCUUAAAACCCAGUGGGAGCUUUGGCUUGCAGAAUCAUGCUUGAAGUUUGAGACUGCCAGCUUUCAACAGG
rnacentral:lncRNA from 1 species